AUUGAACGCUGGCGGCAUGCUUUACACAUGCAAGUCGGACGGUAACAGGCCGCAAGGUGCUGACGAGUGGCGAACGGGUGAGUAAUGCAUCGGAACGUGCCCAGUCGUGGGGGAUAACUACUCGAAAGAGUAGCUAAUACCGCAUACGAUCUAUGGAUGAAAGCGGGGGACCGUAAGGCCUCGCGCGAUUGGAGCGGCCGAUGUCAGAUUAGGUAGUUGGUGGGGUAAAGGCUCACCAAGCCAACGAUCUGUAGCUGGUCUGAGAGGACGACCAGCCACACUGGGACUGAGACACGGCCCAGACUCCUACGGGAGGCAGCAGUGGGGAAUUUUGGACAAUGGGCGCAAGCCUGAUCCAGCAAUGCCGCGUGCAGGAAGAAGGCCUUCGGGUUGUAAACUGCUUUUGUACGGAACGAAACGGCUCUGGUUAAUACCCGGGGCUAAUGACGGUACCGUAAGAAUAAGCACCGGCUAACUACGUG
rnacentral:rRNA from 1 species